GUCUAGGGCCAUACCAGCCUGAAUGCACCCAGUCUCGUCUGAUCUCGGAAGCUAAGCAGGGUCGGGCCAGGUUAGUACUUGGAUGGGAGACCACCUGGGAAUACUGGGUGCUGUAGGCU